rnacentral:rRNA from 1 species
GAUGAACGCUGGCGGCGUGCCUAAUACAUGCAAGUCGAGCGAACGGAUAAGGAGCUUGCUCCUUUGAAGUUAGCGGCGGACGGGUGAGUAACACGUGGGUAACCUACCUAUAAGACUGGAAUAGCUUCGGGAAACCGGAGCUAAUGCCGGAUAACAUUUGGAACUGCAUGGUUCUAAAGUAAAAGAUGGUUUUGCUAUCACUUAUAGAUGGACCCGCGCCGUAUUAGCUAGUUGGUAAGGUAACGGCUUACCAAGGCAACGAUACGUAGCCGACCUGAGAGGGUGAUCGGCCACACUGGAACUGAGACACGGUCCAGACUCCUACGGGAGGCAGCAGUAGGGAAUCUUCCGCAAUGGACGAAAGUCUGACGGAGCAACGCCGCGUGAGUGAUGAAGAUUUUCGGAUCGUAAAACUCUGUUAUUAGGGAAGAACAAAUGUGUAAGUAACUGUGCACAUCUUGACGGUACCUAAUCAGAAAGCCACGGCUAACUACGUGCCAGCCGCCGCAGUAA